rnacentral:lncRNA from 1 species
AAUAAAAUCCAAAUGAUGAGCAUUCAACAAUCAUUGUAUGUCUAUUGUUGUAUUAGAGUUGUGUUCCUACAUUGUCAAAGCCCUCAAAUACCAUAAGGAAAAUAGGCCUAGGUUCUUUAAUAUUAUGGUUGCAUUCAUUCUGCAUCAUCAUUAUGGAAAGUUAUUAGGGAAUUUUUUAUAUCCUAAUGGGGUGCUCUAGAUGGCUAAGUACUUAACUUGUGACUUAGAAAUGUAAGCUUAGUAGGUUUUUAAGUCAAAAGUAUUUGAAUGUUAUAGAAGAGUAAAUGAGGGAGGGGACCC